GACGAACGCUGGCGGCGUGCUUAACACAUGCAAGUCGAACGGAAAGGCCCUUCGGGGUACUCGAGUGGCGAACGGGUGAGUAACACGUGGGUGAUCUGCCCUGCACUUUGGGAUAAGCCUGGGAAACUGGGUCUAAUACCGAAUAGGACCGCAUGCUUCAUGGUGUGUGGUGGAAAGCUUUUGCGGUGUGGGAUGGGCCCGCGGCCUAUCAGCUUGUUGGUGGGGUAAUGGCCUACCAAGGCGACGACGGGUAGCCGGCCUGAGAGGGUGUCCGGCCACACUGGGACUGAGAUACGGCCCAGACUCCUACGGGAGGCAGCAGUGGGGAAUAUUGCACAAUGGGCGCAAGCCUGAUGCAGCGACGCCGCGUGAGGGAUGACGGCCUUCGGGUUGUAAACCUCUUUCAGCAGGGACGAAGCGCAAGUGACGGUACCUGUAGAAGAAGCACCGGCCAACUACGUGCCAGCAGCCGCGGUAAUACGUAGGGUGCGAGCGUUGUCCGGAAUUACUGGGCGUAAAGAGCUCGUAGGUGGUUUGUCGCGUUGUUCGUGAAAACUCACAGCUCAACUGUGGGCGUGCGGGCGAUACGGGCAGACUUGAGUACUGCAGGGGAGACUGGAAUUCCUGGUGUAGCGGUGGAAUGCGCAGAUAUCAGGAGGAACACCGGUGGCGAAGGCGGGUCUCUGGGCAGUAACUGACGCUGAGGAGCGAAAGCGUGGGGAGCGAACAGGAUUAGAUACCCUGGUAGUCCACGCCGUAAACGGUGGGUACUAGGUGUGGGUUUCCUUCCUUGGGAUCCGUGCCGUAGCUAACGCAUUAAGUACCCCGCCUGGGGAGUACGGCCGCAAGGCUAAAACUCAAAGAAAUUGACGGGGGCCCGCACAAGCGGCGGAGCAUGUGGAUUAAUUCGAUGCAACGCGAAGAACCUUACCUGGGUUUGACAUGCACAGGACGCCGGCAGAGAUGUCGGUUCCCUUGUGGCCUGUGUGCAGGUGGUGCAUGGCUGUCGUCAGCUCGUGUCGUGAGAUGUUGGGUUAAGUCCCGCAACGAGCGCAACCCUUGUCUCAUGUUGCCAGCACGUAAUGGUGGGGACUCGUGAGAGACUGCCGGGGUCAACUCGGAGGAAGGUGGGGAUGACGUCAAGUCAUCAUGCCCCUUAUGUCCAGGGCUUCACACAUGCUACAAUGGCCGGUACAAAGGGCUGCGAUGCCGUGAGGUGGAGCGAAUCCUUUCAAAGCCGGUCUCAGUUCGGAUCGGGGUCUGCAACUCGACCCCGUGAAGUCGGAGUCGCUAGUAAUCGCAGAUCAGCAACGCUGCGGUGAAUACGUUCCCGGGCCUUGUACACACCGCCCGUCACGUCAUGAAAGUCGGUAACACCCGAAGCCGGUGGCCUAACCC
rnacentral:rRNA from 1 species